rnacentral:lncRNA from 1 species
AGUACAUCGGAUGAUUUCAGGUUACCAUGAGCAAUCCCGUCUUCUCGAAGCUCUUGAUGCAUGAAAGCUAAGCCGUCAGCUAUGCUAGCAGCGACGUCCAGCCUAGUGCUCCAGUCGAAGGUUCGGCCCAUCUGCGUUCCUGAAAUUUUAAGGGAACAUUAUCAAAGCAUACAAACUCAUCGCCAUCAUAGUGAACACAGGUGGAAUCUGCAAUUGUUUAGCGUAUGAUGUUUCUUUAUCUUUUCUUCAUCUUCUUUUAUCCUUAAUUAUUGCUUGGAAAAGAAUAUCAGUACAAUACUUUUCUUAAAGAUUUAGUAAGUUCCUUGCAAGCAACUUGUCUAGGAAUGUUCUUUACACUUGUGAUCUGUUCUCCUGGGACUUGGGAGUUUCUAAUUAAUACAGGCACGCUGGAGAACUUUCCACGACCAAUUUCCAUCCAUUAUAAAGGGCCCAAUACACAUGAGCACUUUUCCGAAUCGUUGGGUGAUGUAAUAAGAUCUUAUAACACUUCAAGUAAGUGCGCAAAAAGUAGCCGCAUGAGAUUUAAUGGGGAACAGGAAAAUUGCAAGAAAAUUACCAUGGAGAAGAUUGAAAAGACUCCCAUGUUGCAGAUAU